AAUCCCGUUUAUCCUGCGGGAGGCCGCCGCUAUCAAGAUUCUACUUAGCCAUGCAAGUCAGGGGGUAGCAAUACCACCGGCGAAAGGCUCAGUAACACGUUGAUAAUUUGCCCUUAGGUCUAGGAUACCGUUGCGAAAGUGACGUUAAACCUGGAUAGGAGAUCGAUACUGGAAUGUACUUUCUCUGAAACGCAAGGCCUAAGGAUAAGUCAGCGGCUGAUUAGGUAGUUGGUGAGGUAAAGGCUCACCAAGCCUAUGAUCAGUAGGGGGGAUGAAAGUCCUAGCCCCGAGAAGGAAAGUGUGAUAAGGGAAUCUUGAGUGCUUUACUUCGGUAAAGCUUUUGCUGAGUAUAAAAAGCUCGGAGAAUAAGUGAUGGGCAAGACCGGUGCCAGCCGCCGCGGUAACCCCGGCGUCACGAGUGGGGGCCACGAUUAUUGGGUCUAAAGGGUCCGUAGCCUGUUUUGUAAAUCUCUUGUGAAAUUGUUAGGCUUAACCUAACAGCUGGCGAGAGAAACUGCAAAGCUUGGAACCGGGAGGAGGCAGAAGUAUUCCAGGGGGAGCGGUAAAAUGUAAUAAUCCCUGGAGGACUACCCGUGGCGAAGGCGUCUGCCUAGAACGGAUUCGACGGUGAUGGACGAAAGCUAGGGGAGCAAAAAGGAUUAGAUACCCUAGUAGUCCUAGCUGUAAACGCUGCGAGCUAUGUGUUGCAUGUUCUUCGGGGACAUGCAGUGCCUAAGCGAAGGUGUUAAGCUCGCCACCUGGGAAGUAC
rnacentral:rRNA from 1 species